rnacentral:rRNA from 1 species
UACGUAGGGCGCAAGCGUUGUCCGGAAUUAUUGGGCGUAAAGAGCUCGUAGGUGGUCUGUUGCGUCCGCUGUGAAAACCCAGGGCUUAACCCUGGGCUGGCAGUGGAUACGGGCAGACUAGAGGUAGGUAGGGGAGAACGGAAUUCCUGGUGUAGCGGUGAAAUGCGCAGAUAUCAGGAGGAACACCGGUGGCGAAGGCGGUUCUCUGGGCAUUACCUGACGCUGAGGAGCGAAAGUGUGGGGAGCGAACAGG